rnacentral:rRNA from 1 species
UGGGGAAUAUUGCACAAUGGGGGAAACCCUGAUGCAGCGACGCCGCGUGAGGGAAGACGGUUUUCGGAUUGUAAACCUCUGUCUUCAGGGACGAAACAAAUGACGGUACCUGAGGAGGAAGCCACGGCUAACUACGUGCCAGCAGCCGCGGUAAUACGAAGGGGGCAAGCGUUGUUCGGAAUUACUGGGCGUAAAGCGCACGCAGGCGGCGUGACGCGUCAGAAGUGAAAUCCCCGGGCUCAACCUGGGAACUGCUUUUGAAACUGGCAGACUUGAGUGUCGGAGAGGGUGGCGGAAUUCCAGGUGUAGGAGUGAAAUCCGUAGAUAUCUGGAGGAACACCGGUGGCGAAGGCGGCCACCUGGACGAUAACUGACGCUGAGGUGCGAAAGCGUGGGUAGCAAACA